CUUACACACACUCAACACACCCCUUACAGACACACACACUGCAUUCCUUACAUACACAGAAACACACUUUGCUUCCCUUAUGCAUACAAACACAGAUUCACACAAUGCAUCCCUUACACACAAUACAUCCCUUAUACACAAACACUCACUGCUUUCUAUCCCUUACACACAAACACACUGCAUCACCUACACAAACUGGUAUCCCUAUACACUACAUUCCGUAAGCACACACAUUAGAUCCUCUACAGUAACACAUAACACAUCCCCUACACACUCUACUCCCUGUGAGUUCAUGGGUGGAACAUGUAGGUGGCCUUAUGGGUGGGCU